rnacentral:rRNA from 1 species
UACGGAGGGUGCAAGCGUUAAUCGGAAUUACUGGGCGUAAAGCGCACGCAGGUGGCUGGGUCAGUCGAUUGUGAAAGCCCUGGGCUUAACCUGGGAAUUGCAGUCGAUACUACUCAGCUAGAGUAUGGGAGAGGGCAGUGGAAUUCCCGGUGUAGCGGUGAAAUGCGUAGAUAUCGGGAGGAACAUCAGUGGCGAAGGCGGCUGCCUGGCCCAAUACUGACACUCAGGUGCGACAGCGUGGGGAGCAAACAGG